rnacentral:lncRNA from 1 species
CUAACUCUGGCGUUCUUUCCGUGCAUGUCUUUGUGGACACUAGGAACCAAUGCUGUGCUGUGGAUGAAGGGUGGAGGGUGGCCUUUUUAAUCAAACCCCAGCAUAGCCAAAGAACUAUUAAUUUUUCAGUAUGGUGGUUUUAUGAAGGUGGGGGGAGGGGAAACAGCCUCAGUUUCCCACCUGUUGAUUAGUUGGUAAAGGAAACUAUUUGUAGAAAUACCUGAUUCUCCAUGCUUAUGUUGCUUCAUUUUUCCAUUUAGAUCUUUCCUUUGCCUCUUACAUAAGCAGUGGGGGAAAGGAC